UACGAAGGGUGCAAGCGUUAAUCGGAAUUACUGGGCGUAAAGGGUGCGUAGGCGGUUCGUUAAGUCUGUCGUGAAAUCCCCGGGCUCAACCUGGGAAUGGCGAUGGAUACUGGCGAGCUAGAGUGUGGCAGAGGAUGGUGGAAUUCCCGGUGUAGCGGUGAAAUGCGUAGAGAUCGGGAGGAACAUCAGUGGGGAAGGCGGCCAUCUGGGCCACUACUGACGCUGAGAAGCGAAAGCGUGGGGAGCAAACAGG
rnacentral:rRNA from 1 species